ensembl:lncRNA
UAGGUUUUUAGAAUUAGAAGGAACCUUAAAAUCAUCUAAUAAAACUUCCUUAUUUUACAGAUGAGAAAAUGAAGGCCCUAAAAGAUAAAGUGACCGAAUUCCUGAAAAGAGAUCAGUUAAGCUGAGCUCUAACUCACCUUGGAUUUCCUAAAUAAGAGAAAGAAUAUGCCUAGAGAUCAUAUAUGCCUCAUAUAUAAACAAAUUGAUUUGGGGGUACCCUUCCAUGAUACAGAUUACAACUCUUUCAUACCUGCUUAUCCACUGUAAUUUUUAUCUGUGUCUUUUGAGUAUGAAACAACGUAACCCAGGGCACAAGUCCAUUUACACAAGACUCUUUUCAUCAGUUGAGAAUGACUACUGGAUGCUUCAUGCCUAUGUGAGGGACAGAACUGAUUCCUCCAAGUUGUUCGGGACCUAGUUCCUUUCAAGGCUUAGUUGGAUGGCCACUUCCUAUAUAGAGCUCAGCCUCAUCAUCCCCAGUUAUUAGAGCUCUUACCCCACCAGAAAUACUUUUGCAUUUAGGAUGACUGGACAAUGCUUUUAGAGCUGGAUGGGCCAUCAGAGGCCAUCUUAUCCAUACCUGCUUAUUUUUCAGAAAGAAAAUGAAGACUCCAAGUGGCUUUCUUAAAAUCACACAUGUGUUGAAUAGAGGUGGAAUUUGAAACUAAGACCUCUGAUUCCAAAUCUAGUGUUCUCCCUCCCUUCACCCAGUAUUAUCUUACCUCUCUACAUUGCAUUUAUUUGGUAUUUACAUUUCUGUCCCUCUUCCCUCUAAUUCCUGGUCUCCCUUCUCACCCCCAUCCCCACUGAGUGUAGGCUCUUGGAGGGCAGAGACUAUUUUGAAUUUGUCAUUAUAACCCCAGUAACUAAUAUAGUAUCUGAUUUUUUUUCUACACAGAUUUAUCUUUUCAUUAUUAUAGAAAAGUCCUUGGGGAGGAAAAUCAUUCUCCCACGCCUAUCAACUGUUUUGCAACUUAUAGCUUAGACAGAUAUGAGAAACUAAAUGAAUUCCUGAUUCACACGGCUAGUAAUAUGCAUGGCAGAGGCAGAAUCUGACCCCAAAUCUUUGUGAUUCUCAAGUCAGCCUUUAUUCACUACCCUACUCUGCCUCUUAUGUUGUCUAUGGGCCUGACACAGAAUAGAUGAUUAAUGAAUGUGCAUUGAAUAAUAAAAUAACCAAAUAAGAAAAUAUAGGGAAUAUG